ensembl:lncRNA
CACAUUUCUCAGUCUCAAAUUUGGUGUAUGUGUUUGAUCUGUGAAGUUCAGUAGUCAGGCAUUCAGCCCUGGAUCUCCUAGUAGCUGCUCCUCUGGGAGGUAUCUGCCAUUGUCUGCCAGGGCCUGAGCCAAGAAGCAGCAGGAAAAGAAUCCAAAGUGCAUCCCAGCAUCCUUCCUGAGGAAAAAGCAGCUUUCACUGAAAUGAAUAGACAAAAAUACAGAAUAUGUAAAACUUGAAGAUAGAUCUUUUCACCUCAGUCUGUACUGAAAACAGCAUGAAACUGAAAAGUACCAAGCUACCGCUUGAAGUACACACAGCUUUGUUGCAGAGAAGUCCAG